UGCCAGCCUCUCCCUCUGCUACCCCCCCACCUCCCAUUCUUCCCGCCGCCGCCUCCCUCAGCGCGGCGGGAUGGGAGGGUGGCUGUUGGGCCGGGGUCCGAGCUGCGCCCGCCCCGGGUAGUGCCGUGAGGGGCCGCUCUGUAGCCGGGCCCUGCCGUUACCUGGGAGAGCCGGGGAAAGAAUCUCAGAGUCUGAACCUUGAGAAACUGUGAUGGAAUGGCAACACAGGAGGAUUUAGUCAACAUCUUUCAUGCAAGGGGUCUUCUCAAGCCUGAUGGACAUGCAACCACCCAGUCUUAGUAUAUUCUUGAUGAUUUUCUAGUAAAAUGCUCAUCAAGUCCUCUGGCUGUGGAGCUAGACUGAGAAUAGAAGGCUCUUGCUCAUCUGGCAUUUGUUAUCUACAGCUGCCUUUCCUCUUUCGUAGGUAUUUCAGGUUAUGGAUAAGCUAGAGGACAAAAGAGAGGUUUUCGUACCACCAGGUUUAAUUUGAAUCUAAAGAACACCAAACAGCCGAGGUCUGAGAGGAACUCGUAGGCUCACAGAAACAUUCUCAUGUCUUUCUGACUGAAUUAAAUGUUGGUCUUUCAAUUACAUCUUGUAUUACAAGCUGCUUGGAAAUCUUUGUAUCUGAUCAUUCUCUCAUUGUGUUGGAAAACAAUAUGUGGGAGUUUCUUUCCAUACUCAAUCUUUGUGGGUUACUUGCUAGUAAACUAAUUUUACAUGACUCAGAUUUAAAUAAUAAAAAGGCUUAACUCCA